GCCUGGGUGGCUCAGUCAGUUGAGCGUCCGACUUUGGCUCAGGUCAUGAUCUCGCGGUCCGUGGGUUCGAGCCCCGCGUCAGGCU
rnacentral:tRNA from 1 species